rnacentral:rRNA from 1 species
AAUGAACGCUGGCGGCGCGCCUAAUACAUGCAAGUCGAGCGAGAAGACGUAGCAAUACGUUUGUAAAGCGGCGAACGGGUGAGGAAUACAUGGGUAACCUACCCUCGAGUGGGGAAUAACUAGCCGAAAGGUUAGCUAAUACCGCGUACGCUCCUUGGACUUCGGUUCAGGGAGGAAAGCGAUACCGUGGGUAUCGCGCUCUUGGUUGGGCUCAUGUCCUAUCAGCUUGUUGGUGAGGAACGGCUCACCAAGGCUUCGACGGGUAGCUGGUCUGAGAGGACGAUCAGCCACACUGGCACUGCGACACGGGCCAGACUCCUACGGGAGGCAGCAGUAAGGAAUAUUGCGCAAUGGGCGAAAGCCUGACGCAGCGACGCCGCGUGGGGGAUGAAAGUCUUCGGAUUGUAAACCCCUUUCGGGUAGGGAAGA